rnacentral:rRNA from 1 species
UGGGAAUAUUGCACAAUGGCGCAAGCCUGAUGCAGCCAUGCCGCGUGUGUGAAGAAGGCCUUCGGGUUGUAAAGCACUUUCAGCGAGGAGGAAGGUGGUGAACUUAAUACGUUCAUCAAUUGACGUUACUCGCAGAAGAAGCACCGGCUAACUCCGUGCCAGCAGCCGCGGUAAUACGGAGGGUGCAAGCGUUAAUCGGAAUUACUGGGCGUAAAGCGCACGCAGGCGGUUUGUUAAGUCAGAUGUGAAAUCCCCGGGCUCAACCUGGGAACUGCAUUUGAAACUGGCAAGCUAGAGUCUCGUAGAGGGGGGUAGAAUUCCAGGUGUAGCGGUGAAAUGCGUAGAGAUCUGGAGGAAUACCGGUGGCGAAGGCGGCCCCCCUGGACGAAGACUGACGCUCAGGUGCGAAAAGCGUGGGGAGCAAAACAGGAUUAGAUACCCUGGUAGUCCACGCUGUAAAACGAUGUCGAUUUUGGAGGUUGUGCCCC